AGCUCAGUCAGUAAGAGCGUCCGCCUUACAACCGGGAGGUCGUGGGUUCGAACCCCGGC
rnacentral:tRNA from 1 species